GAGUUCGAUUAUGGCUCAGGAUGAACGCUGGCGGUAUGCUUUACACAUGCAAGUCGUACGAGAGUUUUUAACUCAAGUGGCGGACGGGUGAGUAACACGUAAGAAUUUGCCUUUAGGAGGGGGAUAACAACUGGAAACGGUUGCUAAUACCCCAUAUGCUUUCGAGUGAAACGGUUUUUCCGCCUAAAGAGAAGCUUGCGGCUGAUUAGCUUGUUGGUGAGGUAAUGGCUCACCAAGGCGACGAUCAGUAUCUGGUUUGAGAGGACGAUCAGACACACUGGAACUGAGACACGGUCCAGACUCCUACGGGAGGCAGCAGUGGGGAAUUUUCCGCAAUGGGCGAAAGCCUGACGGAGCAAUACCGCGUGAGGGAUGACGGCCUAUGGGUUGUAAACCUCUUUUUUCAGGGAGGAAUAAAUGACGUGUACCUGAGGAAUAAGCAUCGGCUAACUCCGUGCCAGCAGCCGCGGUAAGACGGAGGAUGCAAGUGUUAUCCGGAAUCACUGGGCGUAAAGCGUCUGUAGGUGGUCCAAUAAGUCAACUGUUAAAUCUUGAGGCUCAACCUCAA
rnacentral:rRNA from 1 species